GACGAACGCUGGCGGCGUGCUUAACACAUGCAAGUCGAACAGUUGCGAACGGGUGAGUAACACGUGAGUAACCUGCCCUCCACUUUGUGCUAACUCCGAUAAUUCGGGGCUAAUACUGCAUCGUGGGGGGUGGGCUCGGGGCCAAUCAGUUUGUUGGUGAGGUGGUGGUCCCCAAGGGGUGACGGGUAGCCGGCCUGAGAGGUCGACCGGGCACACGGGGCCUGAGACACGGCCCAGAAGACUACGGGAGGAAGCAGUGGAAAGUAGUGCACAAGGGGCGAAAGACUGAUGCAGGGACGCCGGGUGGGAGAGGACGGGCUUCGGGUUGUAAACCUCUUUCAGCAAAGAAGCGGUACGUGCAGAAGAAGCGCCGGCUAACUACGUGCCAGCAGCCGCGGUAAUUC
rnacentral:rRNA from 1 species